UACAGAGGGUGCGAGCGUUAAUCGGAAUUACUGGGCGUAAAGCGCGCGUAGGCGGCUUUGCAAGUCGGGUGUGAAAUCCCCAGGCUUAACCUGGGAACUGCAUUCGAGACUGCAUUGCUAGAGUAUGGGAGAGGGAAGUGGAAUUUCCGGUGUAGCGGUGAAAUGCGUAGAUAUCGGAAGGAACAUCAGUGGCGAAAAGCGACUUCCUGGACCAAUACUGACGCUCAUGUGCGAAAGCGUGGG
rnacentral:rRNA from 1 species